rnacentral:rRNA from 1 species
GGAUUAGAUACCCUGGUAGUCCACGCCGUAAACGAUGUCUACUAGUUGUUGGGACCCUUGAGGUCUUAGUGGCGCAGCUAACGCGUUAAGUCGACCGCCUGGGGAGUACGGUCGCAAGAUUAAAACUCAAAUGAAUUGACGGGGGCCCGCACAAGCGGUGGAGCAUGUGGUUUAAUUCGAAGCAACGCGAAGAACCUUACCUACUCUUGACAUCCAGAGAACUUUCCAGAGAUGGAUUGGUGCCUUCGGGAACUCUGAGACAGGUGCUGCAUGGCUGUCGUCAGCUCGUGUCG